GCCAUCGUAGUGUAGUGGUCAGCAUGCUCGGCGCGUAUUCGAGAGGUCCGUGGUUCGAGUCCCGGCUAGGGCG
rfam:Stegodyphus mimosarum contig112668, whole genome shotgun sequence.